rnacentral:lncRNA from 1 species
AGGGCUUUUGUGGCUUUGCCCGCCCAGCUGCUCUGUGCCAGGAGGAGGAGGAGACACCUGGAGCCUGUGACACCACGGCUUGCCUCGCUGAGGGUGGGUGGCAGUGACGGAGACUGCAGCGUGCUGGAACUGUAGGAGAGUGACCACGCUAGGAGGUCAGGCGGCUGCAGCCAGGGU